rnacentral:rRNA from 1 species
UACGUAGGGCGCAAGCGUUGUCCGGAAUUAUUGGGCGUAAAGAGCUCGUAGGCGGUCUGUUACGUCCGCUGUGAAAGCCCAGGGCUUAACCCUGGGCUUGCAGUGGAUACGGGCAGACUAGAGGCAGGUAGGGGAGAAUGGAAUUCCCGGUGUAGCGGUGAAAUGCGCAGAUAUCGGGAGGGAUACCAGUGGCGAAGGCGGCUUCUUGGCCUGUUCUUGACGCUGAGGCGCGAAAGCUGGGGGAGCAAACGGG